GUCGAGCGGUAAGGCCCUUCGGGGUACACGAGCGGCGAACGGGUGAGUAACACGUGGGUGAUCUGCCUCGCACUCUGGGAUAAGCCUGGGAAACUGGGUCUAAUACCGGAUAUGACCUUACAUCGCAUGGUGUUUGGUGGAAAGAUUUAUCGGUGCGAGAUGGGCCCGCGGCCUAUCAGCUUGUUGGUGGGGUAAUGGCCUACCAAGGCGACGACGGGUAGCCGGCCUGAGAGGGCGACCGGCCACACUGGGACUGAGACACGGCCCAGACUCCUACGGGAGGCAGCAGUGGGGAAUAUUGCACAAUGGGCGAAAGCCUGAUGCAGCGACGCCGCGUGAGGGAUGACGGCCUUCGGGUUGUAAACCUCUUUCGACAGGGACGAAGCGCAAGUGACGGUACCUGUAGAAGAAGCACCGGCCAACUACGUGCCAGCAGCCGCGGUAAUACGUAGGGUGCGAGCGUUGUCCGGAAUUACUGGGCGUAAAGAGCUUGUAGGCGGCUUGUCGCGUCGAUCGUGAAAACUUGGGGCUCAACCCCAAGCUUGCGGUCGAUACGGGCAGGCUUGAGUACUUCAGGGGAGACUGGAAUUCCUGGUGUAGCGGUGAAAUGCGCAGAUAUCAGGAGGAACACCGGUGGCGAAGGCGGGUCUCUGGGAAGUAACUGACGCUGAGAAGCGAAAGCGUGGGUAGCGAACAGGAUUAGAUACCCUGGUAGUCCACGCCGUAAACGGUGGGUACUAGGUGUGGGUUUCCUUCCACGGGAUCCGUGCCGUAGCUAACGCAUUAAGUACCCCGCCUGGGGAGUACGGCCGCAAGGCUAAAACUCAAAGGAAUUGACGGGGGCCCGCACAAGCGGCGGAGCAUGUGGAUUAAUUCGAUGCAACGCGAAGAACCUUACCUGGGUUUGACAUACACCGGAAACCUGCAGAGAUGUAGGCCCCCUUGUGGUCGUGUACAGGUGGUGCAUGGCUGUCGUCAGCU
rnacentral:rRNA from 1 species